rnacentral:lncRNA from 1 species
ACCCUGAUUAGGCUUUGAGGGACUGUCUCUGCAAAAGCAGAGGAAGGAAGGACCGUGCAGCUGUGUAGAGUUGGAAUUGAUCCCUAAGGCUGGACAUGGGGCGGGAAAGCCCCAAGGCACUAAGACAAAGGGGGAAGGCAUGAAUGCCACGGACAUAUGUGGAGAUCAGAGGACAGCGUUCACGAGUCCUUCAAAAACAGCCCUCCCUUUCUGCAGAGAUCACAACUAUGGCCCAUGCACGCCAGGCUAGCACUUUACCACUGAGCCAUGCCUGCAGCCCAUUCAUUAUCUGGCCCGGUGUCGGUGAUAUCAUCCGUGUAUUCAUAUGCCAAACUUAUCAUGUUGUACACUUUAAAUAUAUGCUGUUUAUAGCAUGUCAAUUAAACCCCAGCAAAAUAUAAAUGUACAACACAGCUCUA